rnacentral:rRNA from 1 species
UACGUAGGGUGCAAGCGUUGUCCGGAAUUAUUGGGCGUAAAGAGCUCGUAGGCGGUCUGUCGCGUCGGCUGUGAAAACUCGGGGCUCAACCCCGAGCCUGCAGUCGAUACGGGCAGACUAGAGUGCUGUAGGGGAGACUGGAAUUCCUGGUGUAGCGGUGAAAUGCGCAGAUAUCAGGAGGAACACCGGUGGCGAAGGCGGGUCUCUGGGCCGAUACUGACGCUGAGGAGCGAAAGCAUGGGGAGCGAACAGG